rnacentral:ncRNA from 1 species
AUGACUACAAGAUGAGUAAAGAAAUUUAAUUUUUUUAGAGAGCACAUGGCUGGUGAAAAUGUGUAAAGUUGAUUUCUUGAAUAUGGUCUUGGUUGUGUGCAUUAGUGAGGCUUUGGCUUAACUGAUGUCGGGGUGGCUACCGUUAUUAUUUGCCAAGUCCUAGUGCAUCCGGAGGCACUGUGACUUACAAAGCUAUUUUUCGUGAGGAAAAUAGAAAUUAAGGUGGUAACGCGAAAAAUCGUCCUUGAA